rnacentral:misc_RNA from 1 species
GAUGAAGAACGUAGCGAAAUGCGAUAAGUAAUGUGAAUUGCAGAAUUCAGUGAAUCAUCGAAUCUUUGAACGCACCUUGCACCCUUUGGUAUUCCGAAGGCUAUGCUCGUUUGAGUGUCAUUGUACUCUCACACUUCUAAUUCCUUUCGGGAUUGGGAGCGGUGGACUUGGGUGUUGCUGCUUUAGUUGUGGCUCACCUCAAAUAAGUUAGUGCAACUCUUGGUUGGACAUAGUACGGCGUGAUAAGUGUCUUCGCCGGCGCCUCUGUAAGGAGGGUGGCCGAUCGGGAGCUCUGUGCUUCAAACCGUCUUCGGACAAUCUUUGACAACUUGACCUCAAAUCGAGUAGGACUACCCGCUGAACUUAAGCAUAUCAAUAAGCGGAGGA